rnacentral:misc_RNA from 1 species
UCCGGUUUGUCACCGGCAGUCUCCCUAGAGUUCCCGGCCGAACCGCUGGCAACUAAGGAUAGGGGUUGUGCUCGUUGCGGGACUUAACCCAACAUCUCACAACACGAGCUGACGACAGCCAUGCAGCAUCUGUGUGGCACCCUCGAAGGUCACACGUUUCCGUGCGCUUGCAGCCACAUGUCAAGCCCAGGUAAGGUUCUUCGCGUUGCAUCGAAUUAAGCCACAUGCUCCGCCGCUUGUGCGGGCCCCCGUCAAUUCCUUUGAGUUUUAGUCUUGCGACCGUACUCCCCAGGCGGAGUGCUUAAUGCGUUAGCUGCGGCACAGAGCGGGUUGAAGACCGCCCCACACCUAGCACUCAACGUUUACGGCUGGGACUAC